rnacentral:rRNA from 1 species
UACGUAGGGUGCGAGCGUUAAUCGGAAUUACUGGGCGUAAAGCGUGCGUAGGCGGUUCGUUAUGUCUGCUGUGAAAGCCCCGGGCUUAACCUGGGAAUGGCAGUGGAAACUGGCGGGCUUGAGUGUGGCAGAGGGGGGUGGAAUUCCGCGUGUAGCAGUGAAAUGCGUAGAGAUGUGGAGGAACACCGAUGGCGAAGGCAGCCCCCUGGGUCAAGAUUGACGCUCAUGCACGAAAGCGUGGGGAGCAAACAGG